CCCCCAUUCCUCUUCCUCCCUCUGGCUUUUCUCUUCCCUGCCGUAUUGCCCGUUUGCCAGCUCUGGCGGCGGCGCUGCACUGUCGGCCGGUGUCCGCCGGCAGGCGAGGCGCCGCACCGGCUGCUAGUCUCUCGCUCGCCUCCCUGCUUGAAGACCUCGGCCGGCCUCCCCAAACCCUACCCUCUUUCGUUUUCCUCCCUCUCUUCCGUCGCCGCCCCCGCUGCCUCUUUCCCCGACGCUGCCCGCCGUCGAAAUUCGACAUCUCCGGUUAGUCUCCCUUCGAUUCAUCACGGCUAUACCUUCCCCUCCCCUCCACGGCCCUUUUGAGCCCGCACCCUCUCGAUUUGUCCGCCGCACGAAGCUCCCGGCGACCACCUCCGCCCGCCGCCGCCAUCCACCUUCAGGCCGCCUUUCCGCCGCCGCUCCCCGCCGUCCGAGAGCCAUGGGUGAGCCUCGCAGCCCCAUUGCCCUCCUUGCGUGCGUGCUGGCCCAGCCCUCUCUUGCCUCCCUCGCCGCCCCGCCUGUCGCCGUCAACGGCGCGCCGCGGCCAAGGCGUGGCCGCGCUCUGCCCACGGUCAAGGAGGCUUGCCCGCCCCUUGACCUGGUCAGGGGUACGCCAGACCCCCGGGCCCCACCUGCCUGCGCCUAGGGGUGGUGGAUCUAGCUCCCGAUGACCAGCCGUGGAGCUGGCUCCCCAUGGCUAGCCGCGGAAGUCCUCGACAUGCCCUCUUUCUCUCUCAGCCGACCAGCAUCGGCUUUGUCUCCCCCUUAUCUCUGUCCCUUCUAUACGCGGGCUCUGCAGCGAAAGAAGCCAUACCUGACAGAGCUGCAGGUCAAGGUCAGGGAUCCCGAGCAGCGGAUCUCCACGAUACAGAAAUCAGAACGGGAACAGCAAGUUCCGCCAGGAGCAAGAGGUCCGCGUGACCUGCAAGUGUGGCAUCCACAAGGAGUUCAGCUUCAACUGCCGCCCUGAUCGACCAGCUCUCCUGUGCACCCUCAUCUUUAAUUUUGGCCUGUCGUCAAAUUGUAUUGAUAUAUGAUAAUUUAGAUAACUGUUUAUGCGUUUUUGUUCUGUUAUUGGAACAAUAGACUUCAUCAGUGAUUCUAAUUGACCUUUAUUUUUGUUGAGUUGCCCCUAGGAUACCUUUCUUCACACUUAGACAAUCAAAGUUAACUUUAAAUGUCAUUCCAUAAUAGCAGCUAUGCUUUGCAUAUUUGUUUUCAGGCUUAUUGAAAUGGUUGUAUAAUUAAAGAGAUUCUAGAAGUUUUGAGAUUUUCGAUAUGUUUGACCUUUAGCCUUGAUGCUUCAUUAUUUUAGUAGGGACGGAAAGUUAGUUCGACUUUGAGAGGCCCUUUCUCAGGCAUAUGGCUCAAUUCCUACCACUACUACAAUCAAUAUUCCUGCAACCAUAAGAUUCCUAAAUUAGCGAUCCAGAAGUGGCAGUCCCUGUAGAGGCAACUACUUCCAGCCUUCCAGAACACCCAGAGCCUCACCUUUGUUGUGGACAACAAUGGCAGAGAAAGUGUUGCUAAUGUCAGGAUGGCCUCCACCAUUGUGAAACAAGGUGAAGAAGCUGCUAAUUGCUUCCGGUGUGUUUUGCCGACGAUGUACAAGUGAAUCAAGGCUAGGAUUAUAGGGGAAAGUAUUAGUUUGAUUCCAACUACAAUAUCUAAUUCUUGGAAGUUUCUAAAUUCAAGUGCUGUCGAUUAACUUCUACAGAAGAAAGCAUGUGUCUUCCGGUUCAAUUAAAAAAAAAAGAGUGAUCAAGAUCUUUAUUAAAAAAAUAAGUUAAGAUCAUGACACUCCAUAGAGCACCAAUAAAAAAACCUUAGUACAGGUAAUAAGAGCCGCCAAAGACCCCAAGUACUUCAUGAUCUAAUGUACCAGGACCAAAAAAAGGCUUAGCUGUAGAAUCAGAUCGCGAGAUGAAGAACGGGUAAAUCCACGCAUCAGAUACAGCCUCCAUUCACAAAUGUGGAACCCAUCUCCCUGUAAAAUAUACAUUGAAAAAAUAUGAGCCAAACAGCCUUUUUCCCUCUUCUUCCUUCCACCUCCUUCCUGUUCUUCAUGUUCCUGAUUUCCUGCCGACCGAGCUGCUGCGCCUCCGCCACGCUCAUCUUGCCACCGAGCUCCACCCGCCGCAUCUCCAUCCUUUGCAAAUGGAUUCCCCUGCAACUAGGUCGCCCGUCCGACAUGCUUCUUUACUGUAGCUUCAGAAAUCUAUACGAAUCAGUUUGUGCCUCCUCCCCUAUAGGCACCGCUCUACAAACCUAUCUUGAAACCUGUUCGGUCCAUUCAGCUCUAGGUCCACCAAUUUGGCUUCAAUGAUGGUCAACUGUUGCUGCUGCUCCUCCGUGUGUUCUACUCUUUUACAGCCCCUCCAGUGCCACGACAAGCCAUGGAGACCUUCCCAUAUGAAGCAAGUAGAAAAAAACAAUGUCAUUCUCAAGACCCCAACCCACCUGUUUCUCUGUCUCCACGUAUGCGUGUUUGUAUAACCAUGAACAUGUGUGCAUCUAUAUAACUACUUCUGAACUUGCGAGUCAAUGAAAAUAUUGUAAAUGUUGUUAAUUUAUACUACCUUAUCAUAA